rnacentral:rRNA from 1 species
AACGAACGCUGGCGGCAGGCUUAACACAUGCAAGUCGAACGCAUCCUUCGGGGUGAGUGGCAGACGGGUGAGUAACGCGUGGGAAUCUACCCAGUUCUGCGGAACAACAGUUGGAGACGACUGCUAAUACCGCAUACGCCCUACGGGGGAAAGAUUUAUCGGAAUUGGAUGAGCCCGCGUUGGAUUAGCUAGUUGGUGAGGUAAUGGCUCACCAAGGCGACGAUCCAUAGCUGGUCUGAGAGGAUGAUCAGCCACACUGGGACUGAGACACGGCCCAGACUCCUACGGGAGGCAGCAGUGGGGAAUAUUGGACAAUGGGCGCAAGCCUGAUCCAGCCAUGCCGCGUGAGUGAUGAAGGCCUUAGGGUUGUAAAGCUCUUUCAGUGGGGAAGAUAAUGACGGUACCCACAGAAGAAGCCCCGGCUAACUUCGUGCCAGCCGCCGCCGUAAGAC